AUCCAAAGUGUUGAGUUCAGAACGGGAAAAUUCCCCUGUUCUGUUAAUUAACUUUGGAACAUUAAGAUCCCGGCAGGGGGAAAUGAGGGAUGGGAAAGAAUUUCUAUCCUUCUUUGUCACCCAGCCUACAAUC
rnacentral:snoRNA from 1 species